UGCAUAUCAAUAAGCGGAGGAAAAGAAACCAACAGGGAUUACCUCAGUAACGGCGAGUGAAGCGGUAACAGCUCAAAUUUGAAAUCUGGCCGCAAGGUCCGAGUUGUAAUUUGUAGAGGAUGUUUCGAGCAUGGUCUGGCCUAAGUUCCUUGGAACAGGACGUCAUAGAGGGUGAGAAUCCCGUAUGCGGUCAGGUGCCUACGCUCAUGUGAAACUCCUUCGACGAGUCGAGUUGUUUGGGAAUGCAGCUCAAAAUGGGUGGUAAAUUUCAUCUAAAGCUAAAUAUUGGCCAGAGACCGAUAGCGCACAAGUAGAGUGAUCGAAAGAUGAAAAGCACUUUGGAAAGAGAGUUAAACAGUACGUGAAAUUGUUGAAAGGGAAGCGCUUGCAACCAGACUUGCGCGCGGCUGAUCAUCCGGGCUUCUGCCCGGUGCACUCGGUCGCGCUCAGGCCAGCAUCGGUUUUGGUGGCGGGAUAAAGGCCUUGGGAAUGUAGCUCCUCUCGGGGAGUGUUAUAGCCCAGGGUGCAAUGCCGCCUACCGGGACCGAGGACCGCGCUUCGGCUAGGAUGCUGGCGUAAUGGUUGUAAGCGACCCGUCUUGAA
rnacentral:rRNA from 1 species